rnacentral:rRNA from 1 species
UACGUAGGGGGCUAGCGUUGUCCGGAAUCAUUGGGCGUAAAGCGCGUGUAGGCGGCCAUACAGGUCCGUUGUGAAAACUCGAGGCUUAACCUCGAGACGUCGAUGGAAACCGUAUGGCUAGAGUCCGGAAGAGGAGAGUGGAAUUCCUGGUGUAGCGGUGAAAUGCGCAGAUAUCAGGAAGAACACCCGUGGCGAAGGCGGCUCUCUGGGACGGUACUGACGCUGAGGAGCGAAAGCAUGGGGAGCGAACAGG